UACAGAGGGGGCAAGCGUUAUUCGGAAUUAUUGGGGCGUAAAGGGCGCGUAGGCGCCUGGCAAGUGGAUGGUGAAAUCCCUCGGCUUAACCGAGGAACUGCCAUCCAGACUGCUUGGCUUGAGACCGGGAGAGGUGAGUGGAAUUCCCAGUGUAGCGGUGAAAUGCGCAGAUAUCAGGAGGAACACCGGUGGCGAAGGCGGGUCUCUGGGCAGUAACUACGUGAGGAGCGAAAGCGUGGGUAGCAAACAGG
rnacentral:rRNA from 1 species